UACGUAGGGGGCAAGCGUUGUCCGGAAUUAUUGGGCGUAAAGCGCGCGCAGGCGGUUCUUUAAGUCUGGUGUCUAAGUGCGGGGCUCAACCCCGUGAUGCACUGGAAACUGGGGGACUUGAGUGCAGAAGAGGGAAGCGGAAUUCCACGUGUAGCGGUGAAAUGCGUAGAGAUGUGGAGGAACACCAGUGGCGAAGGCGGCUUUCUGGUCUGUAACUGACGCUGAGGCGCGAAAGCGUGGGGAGCAAACAGG
rnacentral:rRNA from 1 species